rnacentral:rRNA from 1 species
UACGUAGGGUGCAAGCGUUAAUCGGAAUUACUGGGCGUAAAGCGUGCGCAGGCGGCUUUGCAAGACAGAUGUGAAAUCCCCGGGCUUAACCUGGGAACUGCAUUUGUGACUGCAUGGCUAGAGUGCGGCAGAGGGGGAUGGAAUUCCGCGUGUAGCAGUGAAAUGCGUAGAGAUGCGGAGGAACACCGAUGGCGAAGGCAGCCCCCUGGGCCAAGAUUGACGCUCAUGCACGAAAGCGUGGGGAGCAAACAGG